UACGAAGGGGACUAGCGUUGUUCGGAAUCACUGGGCGUAAAGCGCACGUAGGCGGAUUCGUAAGUCAGGGGUGAAAUCCCGGGGCUCAACCUCGGAACUGCCUUUGAUACUGCGGGUCUUGAGUCCGAUAGAGGUGGGUGGAAUUCCUAGUGUAGAGGUGUAAUUCGUAGAUAUUAGGAAGAACACCGGUGGCGAAGGCGGCCCACUGGUCCGGUACUGACGCUGAGGUGCGAAAGCGUGGGGAGCAAACAGG
rnacentral:rRNA from 1 species